AUGAACGCUGGCGGCGUGCCUAAUACAUUCCAGUCGAGCGAACGGACGAGAAGCUUGCUUCUCUGAUGUUAGCGGCGGACGGGUGAGUAACACGUGGAUAACCUACCUAUAAGACUGGGAUAACUUCGGGAAACCGUAGCUAAUACCGGAUAAUAUUUUGAACCGCAUGGUUCAAAAGUGAAAGACGGUCUUGCUGUCACUUAUAGAUGGAUCCGCGCUGCAUUAGCUAGUUGGUAAGGUAACGGCUUACCAAGGCAACGAUGCAUAGCCGACCUGAGAGGGUGAUCGGCCACACUGGAACUGAGACACGGUCCAGACUCCUACGGGAGGCAGCAGUAGGGAAUCUUCCGCAAAGGGCGAAAGCCUGACGGAGCAACGCCGCGUGAGUGAUGAAGGUCUUCGGAUCGUAAAACUCUGUUAUUAGGGAAGAACAUAUGUGUAAGUAACUGUGCACAUCUUGACGGUACCUAAUCAGAAAGCCACGGCUAACUACGUG
rnacentral:rRNA from 1 species